rnacentral:misc_RNA from 1 species
GCAUCCUGGGAGCUGUUUUGAUUGGUUUGUUACCGGUGGUUGGCUCUCUGCUUAUGCAACAACUUCCACCUGGCAUUCCUUUUCGGUUAUGCGUCAAGGUUUCUUUCCCUUGAGCGCUUAUGGUUUCCUGUGUUGCCUACCUUUGUGACGGUAUUGGUUGAUUAAAUCGAAGUUGUGUUUCAUCAUGUGUCAUUUGUAGGCAUACAAUGAACCUCAAAGCAGUUUCUAUGAUCCACCUUGUUGAUGCGCAUGCGUCUACAUUGUGGGUUAUGGAGUCUUGCUUGGUUUUCAGGAUAUAGAACAUGAUAUGGGUGUGGGUCUUUGUGAUCCUUAUUUUGCCCUUGUUGAACGUUGUUAUUCUUUUAGAUGACUACCUAUCCCGAAUUGGCUCGUACCACGGGUUGGGCUAUGUUGUUCAACAGUAAUACUAUCGUUCUUGCUUCUCUAAAAAGACGGCCUGCUUUGAUUGGUUUGUACCAGAGGUGGGCUAUGUCGAAGAGGGAUGCUACCUGGUUGAUCCUGCCAGUAGUCAUAUGCUUGUCUCAA